UAAUAAGAUGGAGAUUAUGAAAAACUCAUUGAAUCCCAACAUCUAUCAUAUACAAGAUUUAAUUAGCUUGAGUCCAAAUCGUGAAACUCAUAAAAAUUUUUUCCAUCAAUCACCUUGUUAUGACCACAGACUUAAGAACUCAGCUUCUUAAAUCUCAUAUGACUACUCCUUAUCUACUAAGAUCGAUAGAUCCUAUCUAGAUGCACAUCCUACUCCUACAAUGAACAUACUAUAGUCAAUAUAUACUAUAAGGAUCCAAACAGUUAAGAGAUCAUAUUUUUGUACAAUCAAACUACAGCAACCUCACUAUGAGCAGUCGAGGCACUGUAGGUCAAAAAAUUAUUCACACUACUAUAAUAUCGAGA
rnacentral:lncRNA from 1 species